UACUAGAUACAAAGAGAGCUACCAGGACGCUUGCAUUUUAUAGAAUCAUGGCUGGAAGCUGGUGGGAGGCAUGCAUCUCUCUCACUCUCUCUUUAAGAAUUAGUGGGAGGUAUGCAUCUCCUACUGAGACUUCCUUUUACUUCGCGUUAUUUGUGAGGACCAGCCACAUUAGGCUGGCCCGACCCCACACCAAGAGAGGGCCCGAAGGCCCUCUUCUCAUUCGGAACACGGGAAGAGGAGGAAGAGUCCUCCUCCUCCACGGAAACUGAUAAGCCUAGCCACCUUUUCGAUCAAGCCCAUCCGCCGCGAGAAUCGCGGCGAAGAAACCACGAUUCGAGUUUAUCCCCCUCACCCUUGAGCUAAUCUCCUUCGGAAAACCUCUAUAAAUCUCCCAUCUCUUAGCAAUCGACCGAGCACCUUCUCUUCCUCUUCUCUCAUUCCUCUCUUCUCUUCCCUCCUUCUCCUCCUUCUCCGUUGGCCGGCGUGCCACCCCGGCCGAGCGCCAUCCGAGGGUUCUUCUCCGUGAGUUGAUCCUCUGUUCUGGAAUCUGUUCAAGCGCGGCCGCCUCUAUCUCGCCGGUUAAGCCGCCAACGGUCGAGAUCUCCCCGUCCGCCACUCGCCGGUGAAUCCGAUCAGCCUACCUGAAGUAAGAUUUAAAGCGAAAAGAGAUCUAGAGGCAUGAUUGCUUGGGACUUGGGGAGUGCAUUAGAUUUGGAAGACUUUGCUUAAUUAUUGGAAUUUUAGUUAGAUUAGUUUGGACAUUUGAAUUAUAUUGAUAUGUGCUAUUUUGAAUUAUAAGACUGCUUUGAAUACUUUAAAUAAUUAUGUCAAUUUUAAGCAUUUGUAUUUUCUUUGAUAUGAUCAGCUGCCUUGCACGCCUGUGCAAUCUGCCGUGCGGGCAUGCGGUGUCUGUUACGCUCCGGGCUCGGGGCGUGACAGAUUUGGUGGUAUCGUAAACUAGGUUUUAGGAUUCCUAGGAUUCAUUGGAAAGGUUGAGAGAUGGAACUAGAUAAGGAGAUAAUGUUAAUUUGUUUUUGCUAA